rnacentral:rRNA from 1 species
AGAACGAACGCUGGCGGCAUGCCUAAUACAUGCAAGUCGAACGAACUCUUCGGAGUUAGUGGCGCACGGGUGCGUAACGCGUGGGAAUCUGCCCUUGGGUUCGGAAUAACAGUUGGAAACGACUGCUAAUACCGGAUGAUGACGUAAGUCCAAAGAUUUAUCGCCCAAGGAUGAGCCCGCGUAGGAUUAGCUAGUUGGUGGGGUAAAGGCCUACCAAGGCAACGAUCCUUAGCUGGUCUGAGAGGAUGAUCAGCCACACUGGGACUGAGACACGGCCCAGACUCCUACGGGAGGCAGCAGUAGGGAAUAUUGGACAAUGGGCGAAAGCCUGAUCCAGCAAUGCCGCGUGAGUGAUGAAGGCCUAGGUUGUAAAGCUCUUUUACCCGAGAUGAUAAUGACAGUAUCGGGUAGAAUAAAGCCCCGGCUAAACUCCGUGGCCAGCAGCCGC